AUUGAACGCUGGCGGCAGGCCUAACACAUGCAAGUCGAGCGGUUGGCGGGAGCUUGCUCCCUGAUUCAGCGGCGGACGGGUGAGUAAUGCCUAGGAAUCUGCCUAUUAGUGGGGGACAACGUUUCGAAAGGAACGCUAAUACCGCAUACGUCCUACGGGAGAAAGCAGGGGACCUUCGGGCCUUGCGCUAAUAGAUGAGCCUAGGUCGGAUUAGCUUGUUGGUGAGGUAAUAGCUCACCAAGGCGACGAUCCGUAACUGGUCUGAGAGGAUGAUCAGUCACACUGGAAAGGAGACACGGUCCAGACUCCUACGGGAGGCAGGAGUGGGGAAUAUUGGACAAUGGGCGAAAGCCUGAGCCAGCCAUGCCGCGUGUGUGAAGAAGGUCUUCGGAUUGUAAAGCACUUUCAGUUGGGAGGAAGGGUUGUAGAUUAAUACUCUGCAAUUUUGACGUUACCGACAGAAUAAGCACCGGCUAACUCUGUGCCAGCCGCCGCGGUAA
rnacentral:rRNA from 1 species